UAUCAUUAACUGAAUCCAUAGGUUAAUGAGGCGAACCGGGGGAACUGAAACAUCUAAGUACCCCGAGGAAAAGAAAUCAACCGAGAUUCCCCCAGUAGCGGCGAGCGAACGGGGAGGAGCCCAGAGCCUGAAUCAGCAUGUGUGUUAGUGGAAGCGUCUGGAAAGGCGCGCGAUACAGGGUGACAGCCCCGUACACAAAAGCGCAUGUGCUGUGAGCUCGAUGAGUAGGGCGGGACACGUGGUAUCCUGUCUGAAUAUGGGGGGACCAUCCUCCAAGGCUAAAUACUCCUGACUGACCGAUAGUGAACCAGUACCGUGAGGGAAAGGCGAAAAGAACCCCGGCGAGGGGAGUGAAAAAGAACCUGAAACCGUGUACGUACAAGCAGUGGGAGCACAGGUUUACCUGUGUGACUGCGUACCUUUUGUAUAAUGGGUCAGCGACUUAUAUUCUGUAGCAAGGUUAACCGAAUAGGGGAGCCGGAGGGAAACCGAGUCUUAAUUGGGCGUUAAGUUGCAGGGUAUAGACCCGAAACCCGGUGAUCUAGCCAUGGGCAGGUUGAAGGUUGGGUAACACUAACUGGAGGACCGAACCGACUAAUGUUGAAAAAUUAGCGGAUGACCUGUGGCUGGGGGUGAAAGGCCAAUCAAACCGGGAGAUAGCUGGUUCUCCCCGAAAGCUAUUUAGGUAGCGCCUCGUGAAUUCAUCUCCGGGGGUAGAGCACUGUUUCGGCUAGGGGGCCAUCCCGGCUUACCAACCCGAUGCAAACUGCGAAUACCGGAGAAUGUUAUCACGGGAGACACACGGCGGGUGCUAACGUCCGUCGUGAAGAGGGAAACAACCCAGACCGCCAGCUAAGGUCCCAAAGUCAUGGUUAAGUGGGAAACGAUGUGGGAAGGCCCAGACAGCCAGGAUGUUGGCUUAGAAGCAGCCAUCAUUUAAAGAAAGCGUAAUAGCUCACUGGUCGAGUCGGCCUGCGCGGAAGAUGUAACGGGGCUAAACCAUGCACCGAAGCUGCGGCAGCGAACGUAUCACUUAAAGCGAUUCAGCGGGUUACGAUUGACGGAGCGAAGCGACGUCAAAGCGUAUACAAAGUCGAGUCGGUUUAAGGAUACGUUCGUUGGGUAGGGGAGCGUUCUGUAAGCCUGUGAAGGUGUGUCGUGAGGC
rnacentral:rRNA from 1 species